rnacentral:rRNA from 1 species
GACAGAGGUGCCAAGCGUUAGGCGGAAUCACUGGGCUUAAAGCGUGUGUAGGUGGAUUUGUAAGUACCUUGUGAAAUCCCAUGGCUCAACCAUGGAACUGCUCGGUAUACUGCGAAUCUGGAGUAUGGCAGAGGGAGGUGGAAUUCCACGUGUAGCGGUGAAAUGCGUAGAGAUGUGGAGGAACACCAAUGGCGAAGGCAGCCUCCUGGGCCAAUACUGACACUCAUGCACGAAAGCGUGGGGAGCAAACAGG